rnacentral:rRNA from 1 species
UGGGGAAUAUUGCACAAUGGGCGAAAGCCUGAUGCAGCGACGCCGCGUGAGGGAUGACGGCCUUCGGGUUGUAAACCUCUUUCAGCAGGGACGAAGCGCAAGUGACGGUACCUGCAGAAGAAGCACCGGCUAACUACGUGCCAGCAGCCGCGGUAAUACGUAGGGUGCAAGCGUUGUCCGGAAUUACUGGGCGUAAAGAGUUCGUAGGCGGUUUGUCGCGUCGUUUGUGAAAACCAGCAGCUCAACUGCUGGCUUGCAGGCGAUACGGUCAGACUUGAGUACUGCAGGGGAGACUGGAAUUCCUGGUGUAGCGGUGAAAUGCGCAGAUAUCAGGAGGAACACCGGUGGCGAAGGCGGGUCUCUGGGCAGUAACUGACGCUGAGGAACGAAAGCGUGGGUAGCGAACAGG